ACAACGACGAGCCGCAUACAAACAGUGAGUAUAGGCAAUACCAGACUUGGUACCAAGGUGCGACGCGUCACAGGCUGAGGGCAGCGUGGACGGAAGAUGGCUACGCCGACAUCCACUCAUCCGACGAUGAAGACACAGUGUACGAUCAGAGUACUCGUGCUGGAAGGCAGGUGGAGGCAGGACCAAUCCUGGAUAGGAUGGGCCGUACCCUCCAAAGCUCGGUUAGAGAUAUUGAGCAUUUCCGUCCUAGAGUUACGGACCCCGAGACGCGGAGCUUUCUAGACCGACUGUCAAAUCGGCUUCGCCGUGCGGCUGCUCGUUGUGGUUGCAGGACUGCCACGACGCGAGACGUGCACGUUCCAUCCCCACGUGAAGGAGGCGUCGGUACGUCUAGCCAAGGCCCCUCGGGUUCGAAAGCAAUUG